UACAGAGGUCCCAAGCGUUGUUCGGAUUCACUGGGCGUAAAGGGUGCGUAGGCGGUCGGGUAAGUCUGAUGUGAAAUCUCUGGGCUCAACCCAGAAAUGGCAUUGGAUACUAUUCGGCUCGAGGUCUGGAGGGGGGACUGGAAUACUUGGUGUAGCAGUGAAAUGCGUAGAUAUCAAGUGGAACACCAGUGGCGAAGGCGAGUCCCUGGACAGAUCCUGACGCUGAGGCACGAAAGCUAGGGGAGCAAACAGG
rnacentral:rRNA from 1 species